rnacentral:tRNA from 1 species
GGUUGUGGCUCAGUGGUAGAGCACUUGCCUAGCAGGCGUGAGGUGCUGGGUUCUAUCCCUGGCAUCA